CCUACGGGAGGCAGCAGUGGGGAAUCUUGGACAAUGGGGGCAACCCUGAUCCAGCAAUGCCGCGUGUGGGAUGAAGGCCUUCGGCAUGUAAACCACAAUUGGCGGGGGCGAAAUAUCGAGUGCUAAUACCAUUCGGUGAUGACGGUACCCGCAGAAUAAGCACCGGCUAACUACGUGCCAGCAGCCGCGGUAAU
rnacentral:rRNA from 1 species